GCCUCUCUGUGCUUGAAUCCAAUCAUCAAAUCUGAUUUGACGGUCUUAAGCAUGCAAGUCAUGUCUUUCUCUGCCAAAGCCUCCUUCAUCUUGAUGCGAUCUUCAAGGAAUUUUCUCUCUUGAACGAGAGUUUUAAGCUGUUCUUGCUGGUCCAUGAGCAAUUUUACCAGGCUGUCAAAUAAGUUAUCGACAUGAGAGCGUUUUGUAGUACCCAUUUAUAACUUCAUUACAACAAGAACCAAGAAGAAGGAGAUCGAAGACUAG
rnacentral:misc_RNA from 1 species